UUGAAGAGUUGAUCAUAUUUGUAAUAAAAAAGGUGUUUGGGUGAUGAUGAUGAUGAUGAUGAUGAUGAUAAUUAUUAUUAUUACCAUUAUUAUCAUCAUUAUUAUCAUUAAUUAUUGCAUGCGCCUGGAAAUAAUUGCAACAAAUCUAAACACCCAUUUCAGGCCCAAUAGAACAAGGUCAAACAAUUUAUUUCACAUUAUUUCGCUAAGGGAAUCCUUUCAGAUGACAUCAUGGCAAUAAAUAGGCAAUAAAUAUUCAUCGGUUCAUGCUCUUACGAAACCCAAAAACUGGUCUGAAAAGGAUUCGUCUCACUUCGAAACAGACCAAAAGUAACAGGCGGACUUUCUCGGUGACGUCAGGCAGUGACUUAUGACCUGAGGUCCUCUUGCAGUGGGCGUUUUUCGUAUCCGGGACACACUGAAAAGGCCCUUUGAAAUCACGAUCUGGGAGGUGUUCCGCUUUGAGGUCAACUUGUGAUCUCUCUCUCCCUCUCUCUCUCUCUCUCUACCGAUGCUUGAGGAGGAGGAGUUUAUCUCCAGGUGUUUGCCUGAGAAAGACGCAGUCUGGACGUCUCCUGUGGCCUGGUCGAGUGGAGGAAGUGAGCUGGGAAGAGAACCAAGGAAUGUCAGCCUCAAGCCGCACUUUGAAGCUGCUACGGCUUCUGCUGAUGGCGGCGUCCUUCGUCCAACUGACGUCCUGCAAGCCGGCGCCCAUCGUGGGCGGCGGCCCGAGCCGGGGUGAAGCCAAAGGACCUCAUCCGGGCGCAGGUGCGGCGUAUUUGGAGGAUCCACCGUCAGUAGCGAGUGAAGUCGAGGUUCCUCUAGCCGAGGAAGUGAGACCAGCCGCGAGGACUUUACCGGAAGGAUCCGGAUCGAGUCAUGCAGUGACCUCGGGAGCCAACUACGGUCCAGGAGGAGUUCCCCCCAACGCCAAUUCGGGUUCAGGGGCGUCUUUUCCUUCUUCUUCUUCAGCAGCAGCGAGCUUGGCCUUGGCCUCAGGAACCAACGGUCUAGGAGGAGUUCCCCCCAGCACCAAUUCGGGUUCUGGGUCGUCUUCUUCUUUUCCUUCUUCGGCAGCAGCCAGCUUGGCCCUCGCUCAGGGAGCCAAUAGCAGCAACAACAACAAUAACAAAAACUACGACGACGGUGAAGGUGAAGGUUUUGGAGGUAGGCCGGGAGGGAGUGCCUUCAGCGCCGCUUUCAGCAACGGAGGUCAAAGCCCUUCGGCCGCGUCCAUCGCGUUUUCCGGGUCGCCGUCUGAUUUCUUCAACAGCGGGGCGGCCGGUUUCCUGAAUUUUUCGUUUGGCUGAUGUGACUGUAGAUAAGCGGUCCCGAAAUCAAGCGUGUACUACACACACACACACACAAACACACACGCAUUAUAUAUAAUACAUAUACAUCAUAUUUAUUUGGAAAACCAACAAACUGUAAAUUGUGAGAAAGAUCAAUUUAAUUGCUUGUAAUAGAGAAAUUGGACUUGAUAGAGUAUUUUUGUUAUUUACUGUUAACAAAAGAAAAUGAUUUAAUUUUAUGUUAAUUACACAGAAUUUGCCCUCAUGAACACAUAACAAUAAUUUCACAAUGAAUGAUUUUUGGUUCACAAAAAUAAAGUUCAAAACACUUAGAUUAAGGCAUAACUUUAUCUUGAAAAGGACUUUAUACAGUCAGCAUUCUUGGAAAAACAAAAUUUUAUUUAAUAUAUAUUCAUACCGCUUACGUAACAGAUAUAAUGCAAUAAAACUAGAAUUGCAUAA